GGUCAAGUUUCUAAGAGCAAACGGUGGAUGCCUUGGCAUCUGGAGCCGAAGAAGGACGUAGAAAUCUGCGAUAAGCCUCGGGGAGCUGAUAAUCGAGCUGUGAGCCGAGGAUUUCCGAAUGGGGAAACCCCGCCAGGCGCUUUUGUGACCUGGUGACUCCCGCCUGAAUAUAUAGGGCGGGUAGAGGGAACGUGGGGAAGUGAAACAUCUCAGUACCCACAGGAAGAGAAAACAACAUGUGAUUCCGUGAGUAGUGGCGAGCGAAAGCGGAUGAGGCUAAACCGAUCAUGUGUGAUAGCCGGCGGGCGUUGCAUGGUCGGGGUUGUGGGACACGUCGCUCAGUUCUGCCGGACUGGGGCGGUUACAGCGCAUCAUAGUCGAACCGGUUUGAAAGCCGGGCCGUAGUGGGUGCCAGCCCCGUAGACGAAAUGGUGUUAUGGCCGGAUGUGUAUCCCAAGUAGCACGGGGCCCGAGAAAUCCCGUGUGAAUCUGUCAGGACCACCUGAUAAGCCUAAAUACUCCCAGAUGACCGAUAGCGGACAAGUACCGUGAGGGAAAGGUGAAAAGUACCCCGGGAGGGGAGUGAAAUAGUACCUGAAACCGUUUGCUUACAAACCGUCGGAGCACCCUUGUUGGUGUGACGGCGUGCCUUUUGAAGAAUGAGCCUGCGAGUUAGUGAUAUGUGGCGAGGUUAACCCGUGUGGGGCAGCCGUAGCGAAAGCGAGUCUGAAUAGGGCGAUUGAGUCGCAUGUCCUAGACCCGAAGCGAAGUGAUCUAUCCAUGGCCAGGUUGAAGCGACGGUAAGACGUCGUGGAGGACCGAACCCACUUCAGUUGAAAAUGGAGGGGAUGAGCUGUGGAUAGGGGUGAAAGGCCAAUCAAACUUCGUGAUAGCUGGUUCUCUCCGAAAUGCAUUUAGGUGCAGCGUUGCGUGUUUCUCGCCGGAGGUAGAGCUACUGGAUGGCCGAUGGGCCUCAACAGGUUACUGACGUCAGCCAAACUCCGAAUGCCGGUGAGUGAGAGCGCAGCAGUGAGACGGUGGGGGAUAAGCUUCAUCGUCGAGAGGGAAACAACCCAGACUACCAACUAAGGUCCCUAAGCGUGUGCUAAGUGGGAAAGGAUGUGGAGUUGCACAGACAACCAGGAGGUUGGCUUAGAAGCAGCCACCCUUGAAAGAGUGCGUAAUAGCUCACUGGUCAAGUGAUUCCGCGCCGACAAUGUAACGGGGCUCAAGCACACCACCGAAGUUGUAGAUUUCGCACACUAGACAAGCCUUCGUGGUUCAGUCGUGCGGAGUGGUAGGAGAGCGUCGUGUGGCGAGUGAAGCGGCGGAGUGAUCCAGCCGUGGACGC
rnacentral:ncRNA from 1 species